rnacentral:misc_RNA from 1 species
GAUGAAGAACGUAGCGAAAUGCGAUACGUAAUGUGAAUUGCAGAAUUCAGUGAAUCAUCGAAUCUUUGAACGCAUAUUGCGCUCUCUGGUAUUCCGGAGAGCAUGCUUGUUUGAGUAUCAGUAAACACCUCAACUCCCCUUUCUUUUUUUGAAAUGGGAGCUGGACUUGAGUGAUCCCAACGCUUUUCUCACCGAAAAGUGGCGGGUUACUUGAAAUGCAGGUGCAGCUGGACUUUUCUCUGAGCUAAAAGCAUAUCUAUUUAGUCUGCCUAAAAAACAGAUUAUUACCUUUGCUGCAGCUAACAUAAAGGAGAUUAGUUCUUGUGCUGACUGAUGCAGGAUUCACAGAGACAGCUUCGGCUGGCCUUUGUAAACUCGAUCUCAAAUCAAGUAAGACUACCCGCUGAACUUAAGAAUAUCAAUAAGCGGAGGA